rnacentral:rRNA from 1 species
UACGGAGGGGGCUAGCGUUGUUCGGAAUUACUGGGCGUAAAGCGCGCGUAGGCGGCUUUGUAAGUUAGAGGUGAAAGCCCGAAGCUCAACUUCGGAAUUGCCUUUAAGACUGCAUCGCUAGAAUCAUGGAGAGGUUAGUGGAAUUCCGAGUGUAGAGGUGAAAUGCGUAGAGAUGUGGAGGAACACCAGUGGCGAAGGCGACUCUUUGGCCUGUAACUGACGCUGAGGCGCGAAAGCGUGGGGAGCAAACAGG